GAUGAACGCUGGCGGCGUGCCUAAUACAUGCAAGUAGAACGCUGAAGCUUGGUGCUUGCACCGAGCGGAUGAGUUGCGAACGGGUGAGUAACGCGUAGGUAACCUGCCUCUUAGCGGGGGAUAACUAUUGGAAACGAUAGCUAAUACCGCAUAAAAGUCGAUAUCGCAUGAUGUUGAUUUGAAAGGUGCAAUUGCAUCACUAAGAGAUGGACCUGCGUUGUAUUAGCUAGUUGGUGAGGUAACGGCUCACCAAGGCGACGAUACAUAGCCGACCUGAGAGGGUGAUCGGCCACACUGGGACUGAGACACGGCCCAGACUCCUACGGGAGGCAGCAGUAGGGAAUCUUCGGCAAUGGGGGCAACCCUGACCGAGCAACGCCGCGUGAGUGAAGAAGGUUUUCGGAUCGUAAAGCUCUGUUGUAAGAGAAGAACGAGUGUGAGAGUGGAAAGUUCACACUGUGACGGAACUACCAGA
rnacentral:rRNA from 1 species